rnacentral:rRNA from 1 species
UGACGGUACCCCACGAAUAAGCCCCGGCUAACUUCGUGCCAGCAGCCGCGGUAAUACGAAGGGGGCUAGCGUUGUUCGGAAUGACUGGGCGUAAAGGGUGCGUAGGCGGUUUAAUAAGUUUGGUGUGAAAGUCCUGGGCUCAACCUGGGGAUUGCACUGGAAACUAUUAGACUAGAGAUCGAGAGAGGAAAAUGGAAUUGCGAGUGUAGAGGUGAAAUUCGUAGAUAUUCGCAAGAACACCGGUGGCGAAGGCGGUUUUCUGGCUCGAUACUGACGCUAAGGCACGAAAGCGUGGGGAGCAAACAGGAUUAGAUACCCUGGUAGUCCACGCUGUAAACGAUGAAUGCUAGAUGUUGGGGGGGCAACCUUUCAGUGUCGUAGUUAACGCGAUAAGCAUUCCGCCUGGGGGAGUACGGUCGCAAGAUUAAAACUUAAAGGAAUUGACGGGGACCCGCACAAGCGGUGGAGUAUGUUGGGUUUAAUUCGAAGCAACGCGCAGAACCUUACCAGCUUUUGACAUGGGAAAGUAUGAAGACCAAAGAUGGUUUUCUUCAGUUUGGCUGGCUUCCACACAGGUGCUGCAUGGCUGUCGUCAGC